rnacentral:rRNA from 1 species
CCUACGGGUGGCUGCAGUAAGGGAUAUUGGUCAAUGGGGGAAACCCUGAACCAGCAACGCCGCGUGAGGGAAGACGGUUUUCGGAUUGUAAACCUCUGUCCUCUGUGAAGAUGAUGACGGUAGCAGAGGAGGAAGCUCCGGCUAACUACGUGCCAGCAGCCGCGGUAAUACGUAGGGAGCGAGCGUUGUCCGGAUUUACUGGGUGUAAAGGGGGCGUAGGCGGGUUGGCAAGUCAGUAGUGAAAUCCAUGGGCUUAACCCAUGAACUGCUAUUGAAACUGUCGAGCUUGAGUGUGUGAGAGGAUAGUGGAAUUCCAGGUGUAGGAGUGAAAUCCGUAGAUAUCUGGAGGAACAUCAGUGGCGAAGGCGACUAUCUGGCACAUAACUGACGCUGAGGAGCGAAAGCGUGGGUAGCAAACAGGAUUAGAUACCCGGGUAGUC